UACAGAGGUCUCAAGCGUUGUUCGGAUUCAUUGGGCGUAAAGGGUGCGUAGGUGGCGGGGUAAGUCUGGUGUGAAAUCUCGGGGCUCAACCCCGAAACUGCACUGGAUACUGCCUUGCUCGAGUACCGGAGAGGAGAUUGGAAUUUACGGUGUAGCAGUGAAAUGCGUAGAUAUCGUAAGGAAGACCAGUGGCGAAGGCGAAUCUCUGGACAGUUACUGACACUGAGGCACGAAGGCCAGGGGAGCAAACGGG
rnacentral:rRNA from 1 species